rnacentral:rRNA from 1 species
GCCCGGACUUGUUUCUCGGGUGGCGAGCGGCGGACGGGUGAGUAAUGCCUGGGAAAUUGCCCUGAUGUGGGGGAUAACCAUUGGAAACGAUGGCUAAUACCGCAUGAUGCCUACGGGCCAAAGAGGGGGACCUUCGGGCCUCUCGCGUCAGGAUAUGCCCAGGUGGGAUUAGCUAGUUGGUGAGGUAAGGGCUCACCAAGGCGACGAUCCCUAGCUGGUCUGAGAGGAUGAUCAGCCACACUGGAACUGAGACACGGUCCAGACUCCUACGGGAGGCAGCAGUGGGGAAUAUUGCACAAUGGGCGCAAGCCUGAUGCAGCCAUGCCGCGUGUGUGAAGAAGGCCUUCGGGUUGUAAAGCACUUUCAGUUGUGAGGAAGGUGGUGUCGUUAAUAGCGGCAUCAUUUGACGUUAGCAACAGAAGAAGCACCGGCUAACUCCGUGCCAGCACCGGCCGGUAAUGA